GGGGAGGUGACAGAGCGGUUGAACGUGCUCGUCUCGAAAACGAGUAGGGCCUAAGAAGUCCUCGUGGGUUCGAAUCCCACCCUCCCCGCCA
rnacentral:tRNA from 1 species